rnacentral:rRNA from 1 species
CUCUUAAUUGGAGGCUUGUAUGAACGGUUGGAUGAGAGAUAAGCUGUCUUUUUUAUAAUUUAAAAUUUGACUUUUAAGUGAAAAGGCUUAAAUUAAAUAGGGGGACGAUAAGACCCUAUAAAACUUUAUACACGACUCAGUUCAUCUUUAAAUUUUAACUAAAUUAAAGUGAAAUGGGGCGUGUAUUUCGUUGGGGAGACGUUGAUGUAAACUGUAACUGUCUAAUUGAAAAAUAUAAAAAUAAUUAUUAUAUGAUCCUUCUUUGUGGAUAAAAAGAUUAAGUUACUUUAGGGAUAACAGCGUA